rnacentral:rRNA from 1 species
AUUGAACGCUGGCGGCAGGCCUAACACAUGCAAGUCGAGCGAGCGGCGGACGGGUGAGUAAUGUCUGGGAAACUGCCUGAUGGCGUGGGAUAACUACUGGAAACGGUAGCUAAUACCCCAUACAAUCAGAUGUUGCCCGCUGGGAUUAGCUAGUAGGUGGGGUAACGGCUCACCUAGGCGACGAUCCCUAGCUGGUCUGAGAGGAUGACCAGCCACAAUGGGACUGAGAAACGGUCCACACUCCUACGGGAGGCAGCAGUGGGGAAUAUUGAAAAAUGUGCGCAAGCCGGAUGCAGCAAUGCCGCGUGUGUGAAGAAGGCCUUCGGGUUGUAAAGCACUUUCAUCGGGGAGGCGUUACCCGCAGAAGAAGCACCGGCUAACUCCGUGCCAGCAGCCGCGGUAAUAC